rnacentral:rRNA from 1 species
GACGAACGCUGGCGGCGUGCCUAAUACAUGCAAGUAGAACGCUGAAGGGAGAGCUUGCUCUUCUGGAUGAGUUGCGAACGGGUGAGUAACGCGUAGGUAACCUGCCUGGUAGCGGGGGAUAACUAUUGGAAACGAUAGCUAAUACCGCAUAACAUUGACUAUUGCAUGAUAGUCAAUUGAAAGGUGCAAAUGCACCACUACCAGAUGGACCUGCGUUGUAUUAGCUAGUUGGUGGGGUAACGGCUCACCAAGGCGACGAUACAUAGCCGACCUGAGAGGGUGAUCGGCCACACUGGGACUGAGACACGGCCCAGACUCCUACGGGAGGCAGCAGUAGGGAAUCUUCGGCAAUGGACGGAAGUCUGACCGAGCAACGCCGCGUGAGUGAAGAAGGUUUUCGGAUCGUAAAGCUCUGUUGUGAGAGAAGAACGAGUGUGAGAGUGGA